rnacentral:lncRNA from 1 species
CUAGAAUCGGGGGAGCAGACGCAAUAGUCGUGGAGGUAGCCAUCGUCUGUCGCGCAUGUGACGACGUCGCCUCGCCGGAGCCACGGAGUUGGCGUAUGUGGAUCGGGUCUCUGGUGAUCUGGGUGACCUGGUGUGGGUGUGCAGUGGAUGAGAUCGGAUUCGACAGAUUGUGGACCGCAGAGUUGUGCGCACGUGUCGCUGUGCAGGCACAGAAGGUAAAGGCGUGGUUUGUGACCGGAGGGCAUGAGAGAUGUGACGGGUGACUGGAAGGUUAGGUGUCGAGUACCGGCUCGUCGGGUGGCUCUAGAUAGGUAGCUAUGUUCACCUGGCACGGAUUGUGUGCUUGAGAGAUGGAAGAAACUGUUCGUGUUUCUGUAUGUCGCUGCGCUGCGUUGUGGUGGAGUCGAGUGUUUAUUUCUGAGUUUGAUAGUGGUAGAUCCUGAUACAUCAUGCUCUCCAGUAGGGGGCUUCUAUGAGCUUUUACUGCUGGGAGUGAAUAUGGUUCUCCGUAUACUUGUAUAUACAUGUAGGUAUAUAUUUAUACAUGGACAGGUGUGCUCUUGGAGCCUGAUAUGAAGCGAAAGAGUGUCCUUCACAUCCCCUUUGAUUGAGCGGCAUGCGUGCUUGAAGGCAAUGGAGGCACACGCCACUGCUCGUCCAUCACGCCUCGUGACGAAGACGCUUGUUUUGGCUUGGCAUGACUGUGCAAUUGUGUCCCUUUGUAGCGUUCGCUGAAAUACGGUAGGCAACGAGUAGGACAUCAAAGACGGUGGUGACCAGCGUGAGUGGAUCCGUCUCAUGUUCAUUCCAGUAGCCUUCUCCCUGAUAGAGCCAAGCCUACUGAUAUAAGAAUGAUGGACAGAAUCAGGUCGCUUGCGCAGCUAUUCGUCAGGCCGGAAUCUCACGACGUCGACCAACACUCGGUGUAGUCGCGUGUGGUGGUGAGGGUCGCAUCCCUUGCUUGUUGGGUGUGAUCUCAACUGUAUCGGGACAGCUAUGAAGACGACCAGCGCCAUUGACAGAGGUGAAUGUGUGACUUGCAUGCCAAAGCCAACUUAACGCUGCAGCCGUCGUACGAUUUCGACAGCAAACGGCGAUAGAGAGUGCACAUCAGCGGAGGUGCUGGCUUCUGGAGGCGCAGAAGCCAACGUGGUGCACGAAGGAGUCCAUGCCCUCGUGGUAGCUGAUUCUGGAUUCCACACGCUUCAUGGACUACCUAGACAUUGGCGACUUACGAGACGACUUAUCUGACCCACAGGACAGACAGCACAGUUGCUGGUGUCCAUUGUUAUGGGGAACGGCUCGGCCGUGUGGUCAACGUAUAUAGAAAAGCAAUAUGGACGGCGUGGAAUGCCGAACCGCGAUACGUGCUGUGUGGGGUGGUGUCGACGUUACGAUUAUAAUCGGAAGGUUGAAUAAUCAAGACAUGGUAUUCCAAACCCGAGUGUGGAUAGGUAAAAACUGCGUGAAUGGUAGGAUAGUGUGCGCGC